CGGGUUUAUACCUACACAGGCACUUAAAAACACAGAUGUGUAGACAAUUCUCCAUGACUGCUCCUGGACUCCUACCUCUGGGACAUCUGUGGCAUUGUGCGAUUUGUUGGGUAAGGAGGACCUUGGCAGGUGGCCCCCAAGAUGCCGGGGACUGUCUGGCUGUCAGCAGGAACUGACUGAAGGUGCACCCCCACUCUGUGAGGAUGUUCCUUCGGUCAGCCCCUGCUAAUGGCCAGACAAUAAAUGUCCCGGGCAACUUGGGGGAGGCACUUUCCAU